GACGAACGCUGGCGGCGUGCUUAACACAUGCAAGUCGAGCGGAAAGGCCCUUCGGGGUACUCGAGCGGCGAACGGGUGAGUAACACGUGAGUAACCUGCCCUUGGCUCUGGGAUAAGCCCGGGAAACUGGGUCUAAUACCGGAUAUGACCACUGACUGCAUGGUUGGUGGUGGAAAGUUUUUCGGCUGGGGAUGGACUCGCGGUCUAUCAGCUUGUUGGUGGGGUGAUGGCCUACCAAGGCGACGACGGAUAGCCGGCCUGAGAGGGU
rnacentral:rRNA from 1 species